GAACUUCACAACACGACAAGUGGAAUUUUUCUUUUUUAAAAAAAAACUCUCUUUUACAAACUCUUUCAGACCCCACCUGUGUCGCGGCCACUGUAAUUUCUCCCCUGGUGUUCUUCUUGAACACAGUUUUUAUCAUUGCCAUGCUCUCCAACAAAUUUCCCUCAUUAAGCCACCUUUACGAGCACCUCAACCUCAGUGGCGGAGUCAGAAUUUUCAGUAAGGGAUUUAAAAAUAUGAAGAGGUAAACAUAUAUACAUAAAAAAAAAAAAUUUUAACCUUCAAUAUACACUGUAAUUUUCUGCCGAGGGAAUUCGAAACCCCUCGGUUACACUUGGCUCCGCCCCUGAUCAACCCCCACCCCCACCCCCCUCUUUUCUCUCUCCCGGAAAAAAAAACAAUCACUCAAGCUUCCAUUUCAUUCUCUAAGAUAUUAUUCACAUUUACCAUGAAUUCACCAUAGCCUCUCUACUACACCACUGCUCCUUUCACAGCAAAAGCCACCCACAUAGCACACCUUUCACUGUUAAUUCACAAUCUUCUCCAUUUCACGGUCACCGAAAAUUAUGCCAUCACCGUACUCUCGUUAACCAUAGUCCUCACCGAUCAUGAACCCACUAUCCAAACGACCGCCAUUUCGGCCCUCUUCUCUGCAUAACAUCAAUAAUUAAAUAGCUCCCAACACCCACUUGUAUUUUACUCUGUUUUGAUGAAAUACACCUACUUGUCGUAACUCGAAUUUGCUCUAAUUUGAGUCUUUUCAGUAGUUUGUUUGGUACGAAGAUCUUGAGUUUAUGUUUCUUCUAAUUUGAGUCUUGUUCAAUAGUUUGUGAUGACAGUACCACCGGCCGGAUGAUUUUGGCGGUGGUGAUAGGAAUGGUGGUAGGAGAGAAAGUGAAGAAGUGAGAAAAAAAUAUUUUUUUUGAAAAUCUUUUCACUGUUUCACGCACUUAAAACGAGUCUACAUGUAAGCAAUGUGUGUCUAAUUGAUAUACUUUACUUUCACUUUAGGUGUUCAAUAGGAACGAAGGUUAGUUCUAAGUGUUUAAAUGGAAAAAUCCGUCCAGUGUAAGGGGCCACGCAUGUAUUAAGCCAAAAAAAAAAAACCUACAUGGCAUACAACAAAGAUUUUUAGAAGAGUGAUACAACAUUGACUUAGCGGCGUUAUAAGGGUAGAGAACCAGCUUGGAUUGCCUGGUAGAUUAAUCAAAGAUGUUAUAUUUUUGCAAAGUAGGUUGACGGAAAUCACUAGGGAAAGGAAGAAGGAUCUCUAUGUGAUAUUCACGGAAUUUGAAAAGGUAUAUGAUAGAGUUCUAAGAGAAGUAUUUCACUGGGUAAUUGAGAAGAAAUACAUCCAUAUCAAGUAUUAAAACGACCUAAAUGAUUUGUGAGAACUGUUGAGAGUGAUACAACGCAGUUCUCACAACUGUAGGUUACACCAGGAAUAAGUCUUGAAUCUGGACAUGUUUACCUGAACCUGAGCUAAUCAGUAGUAUACACAAUGAUGUUUGAUGAUACAUACUAAUUUUUAUGCUAACUGAAGAAAUUAGCGGAGUAGUCAGUUAAAACAUUGGAAUUAUGAAAAGGUGCUCCACAGAGUAGUAGAGUUUUUAGGAUAAGUAGAAGACAAAACACAUCUUAUCAGCCAUCUGUUUUUUCCUUCUUCUGGAAGCUACAGUGCACAUUAUUUCGAUUGUCAAAAGAAAAUUAUGUCAAGACUAAGAAAAGAGUAAGCACCUGAACUAAAACAUUCCUUCUGCUGAAGGUAAAUUUUGCCCACUUUAAGAUAGAUAAAUACACCAAACAACAAAUCCAAUCGUUUUAUCUAGCUUUUCCAGAAUCAUGCUGCUGUGCUUGCUCCAGAUCAUCCAGCUCGAUUGGGGCUUGCACUUGCCUUAUCUUCACACUACCACACGUCAUUGCAGUUGGACCAUGCCAUUACCACUGCCCGUGAGGCCCUUGAUGCUGUUGUUGAAGUUGAGCUUCCGGCACAGAGCGUACCGGUGUAUGGGUUGCUUCGGGGCAAACAUCAAUUAUGGCAAGAGGAGGAAGAGGGAUAGGUGGCGCAAGAGUGACAGGGUGGCGGCAUGUGAUGACUAGUGUUUUAACAUAGACAAUUUGUCUAAAGUAUAUUACCUAAUUUUGGUGGCAUCUAUAAAUUGGCGCUGGCCUUUUGAUUUCUCGCCUAUCUUGUCUUUAUUAGAAUAUGUGGAACCAGUCUAUUACGGAAUUCUAGCAUGUACGGUAACUUGAACCAAAUGAAUAGGAAAAUAUCUCUUAUUAGAUUCAUAAAAGAGCUACACAAGCCAUAAUUAUACUUACUUCCGAGCCUCCUAUUAGAUUCGUCGAUUGGCGCCAAGGCCGUGCCUUCCAAUUCCUUGCAUCUACGAACACCUUGGAUUAGUGGCUUAGCUCAUUCACAAUCUUGAUUGUCAAUAUGUAUGUAAACAAUGUAGACGGAAGGCUUUUAUUUGCAAAUGGUGUUUACACCAAACUUGGAUCUUUUGUAUGCAUAUUUAUCUCUUAAUCAUGAUUGAAUAAUAUGUAUUCUUCCUUUAAAUUUUAACUAUUAAGAUUAAAUUAUUUAUUGAUGUAAUAAGCUUUUAACAUACGCAUGUUUUAUUGAGAGUGAUCGUCGAAGAACCUUUUCACGGGGGAGAGGGAUAGGCCAGUUUGAAAAUAAAUGGAGAGGCCAUUUAUUCAUAGCACGAAACGAAGAGGUUUCAUGAAUGAAUGUGGUAAAUCAAUCAAUCUUUUCAUUACAUAUCGGGACAAAAACCAACCCAUCUAACUCGAUUUUUCGAAGUAAAGAGAGGGAGAGGGCGCUCUUCCUAUAUUGAGCUCCUAAAAGACACACGAUGCUUGGAAAUCGGAACUAUAGUUUAGAGAAAGGCUUGUUAUACAAUGAUUUUUUUUUUUUGCGUGCAUUGGUCAGUUUUUGGGGUGGUCUUUAAUUUUUGCCCUCCACUUAGAACCUCUUAAUUUCGAGUUUGA